rnacentral:misc_RNA from 1 species
AAUCUCCCACCCCAAGCGGUUUUUACAUGAAACGGCUUGGCGGAUGGGGUCUGGAUGGGUGCCUCUGCCUGCGCUACCUAGCACAGGCUCGCCCGAAAUGCAUGAGCGCCUUGAGACACUUUGCAUCCGCCUCUCUGUUUGGGAGGAGGCGGCCAAGCAGUGUUUUUCUCCUGGCAUGGCAUGAUACGUCAUUUGCUAUGUCGCCUAAAGGAGGAAUGUUUGGUUGUGUCUGCGUGUGCUUCGAACUUGCCUCUGUGGCACAUCCCAAUUUCAC